AAAAUCUGUCAGUAGGUUAGUUGUUUAUAGGUUUAUACUGUUUUACUUGAUUGUAUGUCUGUAUUUAUGUAGCACAGUGGUCCUGUGAGGCAUGACAUUUCGUUCCACUGUGUGUCCACACGUAGCGGAAUGACAAUAAAGCUAGACUUGACUUGACUAUUGCACAAUACUGACCAGUUUAGCUACUUUUAGUUGAAAUAGCUUCAUUUGUGUAUGUUUGAGCCAUGUGUUGACUAAUUUGUAAUUUGUCUGAGUUAGAUGUGAUGAAACUAAAGCCGUGAUAACGAACAACCAGCGGUGGAACCCGAAGUCUGGACCUGACGAUUUUCAGCAUGACCAGUCCAGGAACGGCCUUGCUGUUCACCCCCGAGACAGAUUGUGUUCUGGUGGGGGACAGUGAGGGGCAGGUCCCUGUGUACGAGACGAAGAACCUGCCAGAUUGAGGCAGCACACAGAUGGAGAAGUUAGAGGAUGUAAUUCGGUCCACACUGUCCAGUCAACACACAUUAGGAAAGACUGACGGAGACACAUACUGUAGGAGGGUCAGGCUGUUUGUCUUGACCUCUCCAUCAUCAUAAUCUAUAUUCUCUGGCAGACUGAGCGACUCCAUUUACACAACAGUGGGUUUACAGCACAUUGCCUGUUUGUGCCUUAUUGUGCUUCUUUGUAGGAAUAAAUAUACUCCUACAGAACAAUAAGUAAUCUUUUUAGGUAAAUGUCUAAAUCUUGCACUAAAUUAUACUAUGGUGAAUUAUUUGUAAUUUCGAUUAGGUGAAUGUAUUUUUUAAGCGUUUCAAGCGUCAUCAUGGGUACUAUAACAACAUCGCUUUGUUAACUGUUUAACAAAGUAUAAAAUAUAUAUUGUAAAAAAUGAAACCAAAGAAUUUUGGAGAUAACAGGGGUUUGUAUUUCAAACACGUUUGCAUUCAGGCACUGAUUGUUAAGAACACAAUUUCCCCCAAAUAAUAGUCAAAGUACUAUACUGUAUUGUCAUGUGGUAUUGUUUUUUGUUUUCCAUGGGAACCACAGACAGAAUGUAAGUGUUUGUUCUAUGGUAAUGGACACACAGUUCUAUUACCACUUGGCCUCCACACAUUACAGCUUAUCUACAACAUGAGGACCACAUCACACUUUUAGAAAUGACUCAUUAGUGAACUGCUUUUCUCUCUUAACAUCUCUCAAAAUAUCGAUCAUUUGAGCUUUUUAGUACAAAUCAAACAAUUUAGCGAUGAAGAUGCACCUCAUCUUUAACAAGGGGGCUUUUAAAAAGAACAGCUGUGACAUUAUGACAGGAAAUGGAUCCUGCUUGUUUACUAAUGUAUAUUGGACUUUACCCAUAUGGCAUAUGGUCAUUUUAUAUUUUAAAACA